rnacentral:lncRNA from 1 species
GUGUGAGGCUCUCUUGAAUUUUAUCACCAUAUUAACGUAUUUUCCCCUGAAAAACAGAGUUAUUAUUUGUUGAAUUCUGCAGUAUAGGGAAUUCAAUGUUCCCAAUUUUUCCAAACCUUUAUGAAAAUACAUAGAAGCUUAUAUAUACUCUUAAUCUAAACUACAACGGUUAAGUAUUAUUACAACAGUUGUCAUGGUAGCAAAUAUCGCCCAUAACAACAUCCAAUCAUAAGAUAUAUAAUAUGAUUUUGUGUUAAAAAAA